rnacentral:pre_miRNA from 1 species
AGUGGAAUUGCUGGAUUAUAUGGUAGUUCUAUUUUUAGUUUUUGGAGGAACUGUCACACUGUUUUCUACAAUGGGUGUACCAUUUUGCAUUUCCACCAGCAAU